GCGGAGGAUCGGAUGGCCGCGGGCAGGGUAACUUGCUCGAGGAAAGUCCGGACUCCAUCAAGGCACGGUACCGGGUAACGCCCGGGCAGGGUAACCUGACGGAGAGCGCCACAGAGAACAGACCGCCCAGCAUGUCGAACCAGAGGUUCGCCUCCGGCUUAGUUGGGUAAGGGUGAAACGGUGGAGUAAGAGACCACCGCGGCGGUGGUAACAUCGCUGGCAUGGCAAGCCCUACCGGGAGCAAUGCCAAAUAGGGGCCGCGUGUGAGGGUAACCUCGCAGGAUCGUCUUGAUCCGAGCAGGUCCGGGUUGGCAGCUAGAGGGCGCUUGGUAACAGGCGCUUUAGAUGAAUGGUCAUCGAUCCGCGCAAGCGGUGAACAAAAUCCGGCUUAUAGAUCCUCCGCGUUU
rnacentral:RNase_P_RNA from 1 species